rnacentral:rRNA from 1 species
AUUGAACGCUGGCGGCAGGCUUAACACAUGCAAGUCGAACGAGUGGCGGACGGGUGAGUAAUGCUUGGGAAUCUAGCUUAUGGAGGGGGAUAACUAUGGGAAACUGUAGCUAAUACCGCGUACCAUAGGAUGAGCCCAAGUGGGAUUAGGUAGUUGGUGAGGUAAAGGCUCACCAAGCCGACGAUCUCUAGCUGGUCUGAGAGGAUGACCAGCCACACUGGGACUGAGACACGGCCCAUAAUCCUACGGGAGGCAGCAGUGGGGAAUAUUGCGCAAUGGGGGCAACCUGACGCAGCCAUGCCGCGUGAAUGAAGAAGGCCUUCGGGUUGUAAAGUUCUUUCGGUAGCGAGGCGGGAACGAAAGAAGAAGCACCGGCUAACUCCGUGCCAGCAGCCGCGGUAAUAG